UGUACCAGUUGUGAUGCCAAUUGCAUUGCUGGGUAGCUAUGUUCGGAAGGGAUAACCGCUGAAAGCAUCUAAGUGGGAAGCCCCUCCUAAGAUAAGAUCUCCCUAGAGCUUUAAGCUCUCUAAAGAUCCGUUGUAGACGACGACGUUGAUAGGCUCCAUGUGGAAGCGUAGUAAUAUGCGUAGCUAAGGAGUACUAAUUGAUCGUGAGACUUGAUCAU
rnacentral:rRNA from 1 species